CAAUAGCGUAUAUUAAAGUUGUUGCGGUUAAAAAGCUCGUAGUUGGAUUUCUGUUGAGGACGACCGGUCCGCACUAUGUGCGUGUAUCUGGUUCGGCCUUGGCAUCCUUCUGGGGAACGGUGCUGCGCUUGAUUGCGUGGUCCGGUAUUCAGAACUUUUACUUUGAGGAAAUUAGAGUGUUUACGGCAGGCAAUCGCCUUGAAUAUAUUAGCAUGGAAUAAUACUAUAGGACCUUGGUUCUAUUUUGUUGGUUUCUAGAACUAAGGUAAUGAUUAAUAGGGAUAAUUGGGGGCAUUCGUAUUAACACGUCAGAGGUGAAAUUCUUGGAUUGUGUUACGACGAACUACUGCGAAAGCAUUUGCCAAGGAUGUUUUCAUUAA
rnacentral:rRNA from 1 species